GAUGAACGCUGGCGGCGUACCUAAUACAUGCAAGUCGAGCGAACAGACGAGGAGCUUGCUCCUUUGACGUUAGCGGCGGACGGGUGAGUAACACGUGGAUAACCUACCUAUAAGACUGGGAUAACUUCGGGAAACCGGAGCUAAUACCGGAUAACAUGUUGAACCGCAUGGUUCAACAGUGAAAGACGGUCUUGCUGUCACUUAUAGAUGGAUCCGCGCCGCAUUAGCUAGUUGGUAAGGUAACGGCUUACCAAGGCAACGAUGCGUAGCCGACCUGAGAGGGUGAUCGGCCACACUGGAACUGAGACACGGUCCAGACUCCUACGGGAGGCAGCAGUAGGGAAUCUUCCGCAAUGGGCGAAAGCCUGACGGAGCAACGCCGCGUGAGUGAAGAAGGUCUUCGGAUCGUAAAACUCUGUUAUUAGGGAAGAACAAAUGUGUAAGUAACUAUGCACGUCUUGACGGUACCUAAUCAGAAAGCCACGGCUAACUACGUG
rnacentral:rRNA from 1 species